AGAGUUUGAUCAUGGCUCAGAUUGAANNCUGGCGGCAGGCCUAACACAUGCAAGUCGAGCGGUAGAGAGAAGCUUGCUUCUCUUGAGAGCGGCGGACGGGUGAGUAAUGCCUAGGAAUCUGCCUGGUAGUGGGGGAUAACGCUCGGAAACGGACGCUAAUACCGCAUACGUCCUACGGGAGAAAGCAGGGGACCUUCGGGCCUUGCGCUAUCAGAUGAGCCUAGGUCGGAUUAGCUAGUUGGUGAGGUAAUGGCUCACCAAGGCGACGAUCCGUAACUGGUCUGAGAGGAUGAUCAGUCACACUGGAACUGAGACACGGUCCAGACUCCUACGGGAGGCAGCAGUGGGGAAUAUUGGACAAUGGGCGAAAGCCUGAUCCAGCCAUGCCGCGUGUGUGAAGAAGGUCUUCGGAUUGUAAAGCACUUUAAGUUGGGAGGAAGGGCAGUAAAUUAAUACUUUGCUGUUUUGACGUUACCGACAGAAUAAGCACCGGCUAACUCUGUGCCAGCAGCCGCGGUAAUACAGAGGGUGCAAGCGUUAAUCGGAAUUACUGGGCGUAAAGCGCGCGUAGGUGGUUCGUUAAGUUGGAUGUGAAAUCCCCGGGCUCAACCUGGGAACUGCAUUCAAAACUGACGAGCUAGAGUAUGGUAGAGGGUGGUGGAAUUUCCUGUAGCGGUGAAAUGCGUAGAUAUAGGAAGGAACACCAGUGGCGAAGGCGACCACCUGGACUGAUACUGACACUGAGGUGCGAAAGCGUGGGGAGCAAACAGGAUUAGAUACCCUAGUAGUCC
rnacentral:rRNA from 1 species